UGCCCCGGAUGGUUCAGUGGUCAGAACAUCUGCCUAGUAAGCAGGAGGCCCAGGUUCAGAUCCUGGUCCGGCAC